CAACAAUCUCUUGCAAGCUGUUCAGAAUACACUAAAACUGUCUGUACCAGUAUAGGUAGUACCAAUGUGAAAUUGCUGUGCUGAGUAGUGAGUAGCCUGCGAACAGGCUCUCAAGUUAUAUUACUACCUGAAAUCAUGGAUAAUAAAAUAAAUUAUUUUACAAUCAUUAAAAUGUUAAUCUUUAUUUUACAAUUAUUAUUUUGUAAAAUAAGUUAUUUUACAAUCCAUGCUGAAAUAAACAAGC